rnacentral:rRNA from 1 species
UACGUAGGGAGCAAGCGUUGUUCGGAUUUACUGGGCGUAAAGGGCGCGUAGGCGGCCUGUCAAGUCAACUGUGAAAUCUCCGGGCUUAACUCGGAACGGUCAGUUGAUACUGUCAGGCUAGAGUGCAGAAAGGGCAAUCGGAAUUCUUGGUGUAGCGGUGAAAUUCGUAGAUAUUGGGAAGAACACCGAUGGCGAAGGCAGCCAUCUGGACCGACACUGACGCUGAGGCGCGAAAGCGUGGGGAGCGAACAGG